rnacentral:lncRNA from 1 species
GGGGAGCUCAGGUGCAUGCAAAGAACCUGAGUGACCAGAAUAGAUGGAGCCAGGAUCCACCCCUUCCUAGACCUCAUUUAAGAAUUGGCAGUGGAGAUAGGGGUGUUUUGCUGGAGGUUCCUCUCUCUUGUACUGGUGGCCUUCUAGAGGAUGUCUUCACUGCCUACUCUGGUAUUUAUUUUUGGUGGGCUUCAGUUACCCUGCCCUCAGAUCAGCAUCUCCACCAUAUCCAGUAUUCUGAGACGGAUGUCAAACACCACUAUGAACUCUAUGCUCUGCUGGUCUUAAAGUAAUUACGUCAUAAUUUCUUUCUAUGCAGCUCUGUGACUCACUGCAGAUGCUAGCUGAUUUUUCCCAAAAU